AUGGCCACAUCAUAUUAAAACACCGGCUCCUGUACUAUCACCAAAGUUAAGCAAUAUCAAGCCUGAUUGGUACCUAGAUGGGUGACUGCUUGGAAAUAACAGGUGCUGUAAG